rnacentral:rRNA from 1 species
UUCAGGAGAACGCUGGCGGCGUGCCUAAUACAUGCAGUCGAGCGAAUGGAUUAAGAGCUUGCUCUUAUGAAGUAGCGGCGGACGGGUGAGUAACACGUGGGUAACCUGCCCAUAAGACUGGGAUAACUCCGGGAAACCGGGGCUAAUACCGGAUAACAUUUUGAACCGCAUGGUUCGAAAUUGAAAGGCGGCUUCGGCUGUCACUUAUGGAUGGACCCGCGUCGCAUUAGCUAGUUGGUGAGGUAACGGCUCACCAAGGCAACGAUGCGUAGCCGACCUGAGAGGGUGAUCGGCCACACUGGGACUGAGACACGGCCCAGACUCCUACGGGAGGCAGCAGUAGGGAAUCUUCCGCAAUGGACGAAAGUCUGACGGAGCAACGCCGCGUGAGUGAUGAAGGCUUUCGGGUCGUAAAACUCUGUUGUUAGGGAAGAACAAGUGCUAGUUGAAUAAGCUGGCACCUUGACGGUACCUAACCAGAAAGCCACGGCUAACUACGUGCCAGCAGCCGCGGUAAUACGUAGGUGGCAAGCGUUAUCCGGAAUUAUUGGGCGUAAAGCGCGCGCAGGUGGUUUCUUAAGUCUGAUGUGAAAGCCCACGGCUCAACCGUGGAGGGUCAUUGGAAACUGGGAGACUUGAGUGCAGAAGAGGAAAGUGGAAUUCCAUGUGUAGCGGUGAAAUGCGUAGAGAUAUGGAGGAACACCAGUGGCGAAGGCGACUUUCUGGUCUGUAACUGACACUGAGGCGCGAAAGCGUGGGGAGCAAAGGAUG